rnacentral:rRNA from 1 species
GACGUAGGGGGCGAGCGUUGUCCGGAUUUAUUGGGCGUAAAGCGCGCGCAGGCGGCUCGUUAAGUCGGAUGUGAAAACCUGAGGCUCAACCUCAGGCCUGCAUUCGAUACUGGCGAGCUCGAGGCAGGUAGGGGAGAUCGGAAUUCCCGGUGUAGCGGUGAAAUGCGCAGAUAUCGGGAGGAACACCGGUGGCGAAGGCGGAUCUCUGGGCCUGUCCUGACGCUCAGGCGCGAAAGCGUGGGGAGCAAACAGGAUUAGAAA